rnacentral:rRNA from 1 species
GAUGAACGCUGACAGAAUGCUUAACACAUGCAAGUCAACUGUGGCGGACGGGUGAGUAACGCGUAAAGAACUUGCCUGCCGGAUAGGGACAUCAUUUGGAAACGAAUGCUAAUACUUGACACUGUGAGAGAGCUUUGCGUCCCAUUAGCUAGUUGGAGAGGUAACGGCUCACCAAGGCGAUGCUGGGUAUCCGGCCUGAGAGGGUGAUCGGCCACAAGGGGACUGAGACACGGCUCUUACGCCUACGGGAGGCAGGAGUGGGGAAUAUUGGACAAUAGACAAAAGUCUGAUGCAGCAAUUCUGUGUGCACGAAGAAGUUUUAGGAAUGUAAAGUGCUUUCAGUUGGGAAGCGGUACCAACAGAAGAAGUGACGGCUAAAUACGUGCCAGCAGCCGCGGUAAUAC